UACGUAGGGUGCAAGCGUUGUCCGGAAUUAUUGGGCGUAAAGAGCUCGUAGGCGGUCUGUCGGGUGGGCUGUGAAAACCCGGGGCUCAACCCUGGGCCUGCAGUCGAUACGGGCAGACUAGAGUGCGGUAGGGGAGACUGGAAUUCCUGGUGUAGCGGUGAAAUGCGCAGAUAUCAGGAGGAACACCGGUGGCGAAGGCGGGUCUCUGGGCCGUAACUGACGCUGAGACGCGAAAGCGUGGGGAGCGAACAGG
rnacentral:rRNA from 1 species